rnacentral:rRNA from 1 species
AUGUCCUGUUUUCGUCUACCAAGGGGUUUAUGUGACAGUAUCACAUCCAUAAUUCGCCAAUUCUGGUGGGGAAGCAAACAAGGUAAAAGGAAACCUAGCUGGGUGGCAUGGGAUAUGAUGACCAUGCCUAAGCACUUGGGUGGUCUUGGUUUUUGUGAUUUGGAGAUCUUCAAUCUAGCACUCUUGGCUAGACAAGCAUGGCGGCUGAUGACCGAUGAGACCUCGCUUAGUGCAAAGGUGCUAAAGGCUGUAUAUUUCCCUCAAUGCUCACUCCUGGAUGCUGAGUUGGGAUCCCACCCCUCUCAGAUAUGGCGAGCGGUGCUUGAUGGUAGGGACAUUGUUGCAUAA